ensembl:lncRNA
AUUAAAAUUCGCAUGACGAGGGCAAAAGAUGAAUUCUGUUUGAUGCGGAGCGACACUGUAGCCUAUAAACUAAACAUCAUGUCAGCUUCUCUGGUUGUGAAAAAACUGUCUGUAUCACCAGGUGUGAGAUUGGGGCACGCACAAGCAUUGCUCUGGACGCCAGCCAAAUACCCCAUCGACAGAGUAUGUGUGAAAAACGUCUCAAUUCCUGUAGGCUCACGUGUUUGUAAUCAAGAAAAGUCUUUUCAGCGUAUAAAGAGCACAAGUGUGUAUGGGGACACAGGAUGAAUGGAACUACUUUUGUUAUUGCACUUUUGAUGGAAAGUGACUUUCUAGAGAUAAAAUGUCACUUUUUUCACCUUAUCACACUUUCUCAGCUACUUUUACAUUUUAAUGUAAACAAUCAUAUUUCGUAAUAUUUCAGGUCAGAAACAUUUCAUAGUACUAUAUUAUGUGUAACUAUGUGAAAAAUAUCAUAUUGGAGUAGGUCGGGCAAUUGAUUAUAUGAGUUUGUUAGAAAAAUCACUUUCCUUUGCUCCUAGCGCCUUCUCAAUCGCUGUAUAGCGUUUUGAGCGGACAAAGAGCACAAGUGUGCAUGGGGACACUGGAUGAAUGGGAACUAGUUUUGUUAUUGCACAUUUGAUGAAAAGUGACUUUCUAGACAUAAAAUGUCACUUUUUUCACCUUAUCACACUGUAACAUCAACUUUUACAUUUUAAUGUAAACAAUCAUAUUUCGUAAUAUUUUAGGUCAGAAACAUUCCAUAGUACUAUAUUAUGUCUAAAUAUGUGAAAAGAAUCAAAUUGGAGUAGGUCGGGCAACUGAUUAUAUGAGUUUGUUAGAAAAACCACUUUCCUUUGCUCCUAGCGCCUUCUCGUUCGCUCUAUAGCGUUUUGAGCGGAUAAAGAGCACAAGUGUGCAUGGGGACACUGGAUGAAUGGGAAUUAGUUUUGUUAUUGCACUUUUGAUGAAAAAUGACUUUCUAGACAUAAAAUGUCACUUUUUUCACCUUAUCAUGCUUUUUCAUCAACUUUUGCAUUUUAAUGUAAACAAUCAUAUUUCGUAAUAUUUUGGGUCAGAAACAUGUCAUAGUACUAUAUUAUGUCUAAAUAUGUGAAAAGAAUCAAAUUGGAGUAGGUCGGGCAACUGAUUAUAUGAGUUUGUUAGAAAAACCACUUUCCUUUGCUCCUAGCGCCUUCUCGUUGGCUCUAUAGCGUUUUGAGCGGAUAAAGAGCACAAGUGUGCAUGGGGACACUGGAUGAAUGGGAAUUAGUUUUGUUAUUGCACUUUUGAUGAAAAAUGACUUUCUAGACAUAAAAUGUCACUUUUUUCACCUUAUCAUGCUUUUUCAUCAACUUUUGCAUUUUAAUGUAAACAAUCAUAUUUCGUAAUAUUUUGGGUCAGAAACAUGUCAUAGUACUAUAUUAUGUCUAAAUAUGUGAAAAGAAUCAAAUUGGAGUAAGUCGGACAAAUGAUUAUAUGAGUUUGUUAGAAAAACCACUUUCCUUUGCUCCUAGCGCCUUCUCGCUCGCUCUAUAGCGUUUUGAGCGGAUAAAGAGCACAAGUGUGCAUGGGGACACUGGAUGAAUGGGAAUUAGUUUUGUUAUUGCACUUUUGAUGAAAAGAGACUUUCUAGACAUAAAAUGUCACUUUUUUCACCUUAUCAUGCUUUUUCAUCAACUUUUGCAUUUUAAUGUAAACAAUCAUAUUUCGUAAUAUUUUGGGUCAGAAACAUUUCAUAGUACUAUAUUAUGUCUAAAUAUGUGAAAAGAAUCAAAUUGGAGUAAGUCGGGCAACUGAUUAUAUGAGUUUGUUAGAAAAACCACUUUCCUUUGCUCCUAGCGCCUUCUCGUUCGCUCUAUAGCGUUUUGAGCGGAUAAAGAGCACAAGUGUGCAUGGGGACACGAUGAAUGGGAAUUAGUUUUGUUAUUGCACUUUUGAUGAAAAAUGACUUUCUAGACAUAAAAUGUCACUUUUUUCACCUUAUCAUACUUUUUCAUCAACUUUUGCAUUUUAAUGUAAACAAUCAUAUUUCGUAAUAUUUUGGGUCAGAAACAUUUCAUAGUACUAUAUUAUGUCUAAAUAUGUGAAAAGAAUCAAAUUGGAGUAAGUCGGACAACUGAUUAUAUGAGUUUGUUAGAAAAACCACUUUCCUUUGCUCCUAGCGCCUUCUCGUUCGCUCUAUAGCGUUUUGAGCGGAUAAAGAGCACAAGUGU